UCCGUAGGUGAACCUGCGGAAGGAU
rnacentral:ncRNA from 14 species